GAACGGGAUGCGUAUCGGAAAGCUUCGGCCGGAAGAUACGUUAUCUAGUGGCGGACGGGUGAGUAACACGUGGGUAACCUGCCUUAUGGAGGGGGAUAACAGAGAGAAAUCACUGCUAAUACCGCAUAAGCACACAGUACCGCAUGGUACAGGGUGAAAAGAUUUAUCACCAUAAGAUGGACCCGCGUCUGAUUAGCCAGUUGGCAGGGUAAAAGCCUACCAAAGCAACGAUCAGUAGCCGAUCUGAGAGGAUGACCGGCCACAUUGGGACUGAGGCACGGCCCAAACUCCUACGGGAGGCAGCAGUGGGGAAUAUUGCACAAUGGGGGAAACCCUGAUGCAGCGACGCCGCGUGAGUGAAGAAGUAUUUCGGUAUGUAAAGCUCUAUCAGCAGGGAAGAUAAUGACAGUACCUGACUAAGAAGCCCCGGCUAACUACGUGCCAGCAGCCGCGGUAAUACGUAGGGGGCAAGCGUUAUCCGGAUUUACUGGGUGUAAAGGGAGCGUAGACGGAGUGGCAAGUCUGAAGUGAAAACCCUGGGCUUAACCUGGGGACUGCUUUGGAAACUGUUAAUCUAGAGUGUUGGAGAGGUAAGUGGAAUUCCUGGUGUAGCGGUGAAAUGCGUAGAUAUCAGGAAGAACACCGGAGGCGAAGGCGGCUUACUGGACAAUAACUGACGUUGAGGCUCGAAAGCGUGGGGAUCAAACAGGAUUAGAUACCCUGGUAGUCCACGCUGUAAACGAUGAAUACUAGGUGUCGGGGAGCAAAGCUUCUCGGUGCCGUCGCAAACGC
rnacentral:rRNA from 1 species